AGAGUUUGAUCCUGGCUCAGGACGAACGCUGGCGGCGCGCUUAAUACAUGCAAGUCGAGCGAGAACCAGGGCUUCGGCCCUGGGGACAGCGGCGAACGGGUGAGUAACACGUGGGUAAUCAACCCCCGACACCGGGAUAGCCCAGGGAAACUUGGAUUAAUACCGGAUGCUCCGUCUGGCCUUCGGGCCGGCCGGAAAAGGGUAGCUUCGGCCUCCGGUCGGGGACGAGCCCGCGGCGGAUUAGCUUGUUGGUGAGGUAAAGGCUCACCAAGGCGACGAUCCGUAGCUGGUCUGAGAGGACGAUCAGCCACACUGGGACUGAGACACGGCCCAGACUCCUACGGGAGGCAGCAGUAGGGAAUCUUGCGCAAUGGGCGAAAGCCUGACGCAGCGACGCCGCGUGAGGGAAGAAGGCCUUCGGGUUGUAAACCUCUUUCAGGAGGGACGAAGCCACUCGGGUUAAUAGCCUAGAGGGUGACGGUACCUCCAGAAGAAGCCCCGGCUAACUACGUGCCAGCCGCCGCGGUAAUUC
rnacentral:rRNA from 1 species